rnacentral:rRNA from 1 species
AUUGAACGCUGGCGGCAGGCCUAACACAUGCAAGUCGAGCGAGCGGCGGACGGGUGAGUAAUGUCUGGGAAACUGCCUGAUGGAGGGGGAUAACUACUGGAAACGGUAGCUAAUACCGCAUACCAUCAGAUGUGCCCAGAUGGGAUUAGCUAGUAGGUGGGGUAACGGCUCACCUAGGCGACGAUCCCUAGCUGGUCUGAGAGGAUGACCAGCCACACUUGAACUGGUGUACGGUCCAAACUCCUACGGGGUGCAGCAGUGGGGAAUUUUGCACAAUGGGCGGAAGCCUGAUGCAACCAUGCCGCGUGUGUGAAGAAGGCCUUCGGGUUGUAAAGCACUUUAAGCGAGGAGGCGUUACUCGCAGAAUAAGCACCGGCUAACUCUGUGCCAGCAGCCGCGGUAAUUC